GCCGCAGCCUCGGCGGCUGGACUCGGAGCAUGGGGAGACGGUUUCAAAAAAUAAUUAAAAAUCGAGGAAAUAUCCUAGAAAAGCCCUUUUGGCGUGAAAACCCCAAAGAGGAUCCAGGCUUCCCGAAACGGAGAUUUCGAGUGCCGGAAAGGAGACUACACAGUAAAACUGGCUCAUACCAGGGUUGAUGUUGAAGAUGCACCUUCCAGAAGAUGCCAAGGCACCAUUGUCCACUUGGCUUGGUCUCUGCCUGUCUGUCUACAUCUCCAGUCCUGGACAGUAAGAUUGGGUGCCCAGUGGUGCCCGGAAGAACCCCCUGAGAUCACCAAGAAGCUUGCAUUCAUCUCUCUGUGCUUGCUAAGAUAGGAAAUUAGCCUCUUGGUUUUGGGAGAUUUUUUAUAAGAAGAAUUGAAACAUAAAGAACUUUUUUCAAGUUAACAUCCAGCUCAUAAAGAUGACGUUUGGAAGAACUUCUCCAAAUGCUACAUGUUUUGGCCAAUCGACCUUUUACUGUAACUAGAAAAUCGGAAGCCACAAAUAAAUUAGGGAAAAGGGUAUACACUUCACCAAAAGAUUCGUUGCUUAUCUAGACACUUUAUCUUGGUACUUCCUUAAAUUGAGAGCACUUCUGGCACAUUCUAAAUGGUUUCACUCACUUGCGAGUGAGCUUUAUGUAUUCCAUUCAGAAAAUCUGGUGAAGUAACUCACAUUCUGAGGAGUUGACAUUUCAUAAAUCACUUUCCUUGAUGUAAAAUGAGAAAAGUGAUACCUGCCUGAGUGGAUUCACUUAUUUCCUAUAUGGUAAGAUACAACAUGUGCAAAAAAAAAAAAAGCUUUUGGUCACCUUAGAAAUGUAAAGAAACUGCUUUUAAAAUCUGUCUUUGAAAAGGUAAAAAAAAAAUCUGGUGAAGUGUACUUGAUUUUUAAAAAGCAUAUUGUGUUAAAGCUGAAAGGGGUGUUUGUGUCUCUUUUCCUCACUUUAAAGAUCAGGAGACAGCGGCCUGGAAAAAAUUAUGUGACUUGGUCACAUCGAAAGGCCUUGCCUGUGUCAGGCUGUCCAGUCUCAAGAUUUUUCCCAUUACUGUGCAUCUUCCUUGUAUCCAAAAUAUUUGGCAGUCCCUGGUUUGGACUAUUUGGUCCUCAGGGGCUGUCGUGGAUGUUUAUUCAUUCGUUGACUCCCCUUUUGUAUUUUUCCCUUUUAUUAUUGAAAAAUUUCAAACAGAAAAUAGAGAAUAUAAUAUAAAUAACUCCCAUGUGCCCCUUACUCAAUUUUUACAAUUAUUAGCAUAUGACCAAUCUUCUUUUUUCUGUACCUAUCCUCAGCUCCUGCUCCUGCACAGAUGAUUUUAAAGCAAAUCCGAACAUCAUGUAAUAUAACCUGUAAAUACUCCAUGUGUAACUGUAUAAGAACCCUCUCACACAUGUAUCUGUAUCUACAAUAGUUAUUGCAACUAACACAAAAUAAUGAUAAAUCCUUAAUAUCAUCAAAA